CCUAACACAUGCAAGUCGAACGGUAACAGGAAACAGCUUGCUGUUUCGCUGACGAGUGGCGGACGGGUGAGUAAUGUCUGGGAAACUGCCUGAUGGAGGGGGAUAACUACUGGAAACGGUAGCUAAUACCGCAUAACGUCGCAAGACCAAAGAGGGGGACCUUCGGGCCUCUUGCCAUCAGAUGUGCCCAGAUGGGAUUAGCUAGUAGGUGGGGUAACGGCUCACCUAGGCGACGAUCCCUAGCUGGUCUGAGAGGAUGACCAGCCACACUGGAACUGAGACACGGUCCAGACUCCUACGGGAGGCAGCAGUGGGGAAUAUUGCACAAUGGGCGCAAGCCUGAUGCAGCCAUGCCGCGUGUAUGAAGAAGGCCUUCGGGUUGUAAAGUACUUUCAGCGGGGAGGAAGGGAGUAAAGUUAAUACCUUUGCUCAUUGACGUUACCCGCAGAAGAAGCACCGGCUAACUC
rnacentral:rRNA from 1 species